rnacentral:rRNA from 1 species
AGCAGCCGCGGUAAUUCCAGCUCCAAUAUCGUAUAUUAAAGUUGUUGCAGUUAAAAAGCUCGUAGUUGAAUUUCGGGGUUAGUAGGUUGGUCAUGCCUCUGGUAUGUACUGGUCUCACUGAUUCCUCCUUCCUGAUGAGCCGUAAUGCCAUUAAUUUGGUGUUGCGGGGAAUUUGGACUGUUACUUUGAAAAAAUUAGAGUGUUUAAAGCAAGCUAACGCUUGAAUACAUUAGCAUGGAAUAAUGAAAUAGGACGUUCGAUCCUAUUUUGUUGGUUUCUAGGAUUGACGUAAUGAUUAAUAGGGAUAGUUGGGGGCAUUAGUAUUCAAUUGUCAGAGGUGAAAUUCUUGGAUUUAUUGAAGACUAACUACUGCGAAAGCAUUUGCCAAGGAUGUUUUCAUUAAUCAAGAACGAAAGUUAGGGGAUCGAAGACGAUCAGAUACCGUCGUAGUCUUAACCAUAAACUAUGCCGACUAGGGAUCGGAUGAUGUUAAUUUUUUAAUGACUCA